rnacentral:rRNA from 1 species
UACGUAGGGUGCAAGCGUUGUCCGGAAUUAUUGGGCGUAAAGAGCUCGUAGGCGGUUUGUCGCGUCUGCUGUGAAAACUGGAGGCUCAACCUCCAGCCUGCAGUGGGUACGGGCAGACUAGAGUGCGGUAGGGGAGAUUGGAAUUCCUGGUGUAGCGGUGGAAUGCGCAGAUAUCAGGAGGAACACCGAUGGAGCGAAGGCAGAGUCUCUGGGACCGUAACUGACGCUGAGGAGACGAAAGCGUGGGGAGCAAACAGG